rnacentral:rRNA from 1 species
UGGUGGAGUGAUUUGUCUGGUUAAUUCCGUUAACGAACGAGACCGCAACCUGCUAAAUAGUGGCGGUCAGCGUCUUUACAAGUGAAUCCGGGGAUGUAAUCGGCCUUCGCAAGGGGUCCGAUUCUCGCCGGUGGAUCUUUGAUGCCUGGCUCGUUGCUUCUUAGAGGGACUAUUGGGGCUACCCAAUGGAAGUGCGGCAAUAACA